CGUCCACGAUCGUGGACGGCGGUUUGAUCAAACGAACUUGCGACCCAUGGCAGAGGUAUCUUUUCCUCGCGAACUCCAGCCCAGCGAAAUACAGAGAAAAGAGGCCUCUGCUAGCAGGGAACGACGCAAUCGAUACGGCAUCUGAACAGUCCAAAUGAUUUCCUUUUCUGGAAACACAAAUACGGCGGCCUUAAUGGAUUAUGCCGUCAUCAUUCAAGCCUCUCGGCUUUUACCGCCGGGGAGAUAUAUUUUUCGCUUUAAAAGCUGUUGAUAUUGACCAUGGCAAAGAAGAUGGAGAUAAGUAAAUAUUAGAAUGGACAGACAGAUCAUUAAAUUAUCUCCUUUGUAUUCCACUCUUAGUUAUUAAAAAAACUUAUACUAUUCUUUUUUUAAAA